rnacentral:tRNA from 1 species
GGGCGUAUAGCUCAGUUGGUAGAGCAUCUGACUCUUAAUCAGACGGUCCACGGUUCGAGUCCGUGUGCGCCCACCA